GCCAAAGUCCAUACUAUGUUGAAUACACCGAUUCUCAUCCGAUCACCGAAGUUAAGCAACAAGCAACAUCGGGCGUGGUCAGUACUUGGGUAGGAAAAAAACAGUUAUAUUUUUUUU
rnacentral:rRNA from 1 species